AUGCGAGAUGUUUACAUUGAGCAUUCUUAGCGGCGGACGGGUGAGUAACACGUGGGUAACCUGCCUCAGAGUGGGGGAUAGCCUUUCGAAAGGAAGAUUAAUACCGCAUAAGCUUGUAGCAUCGCAUGGUGCAGCAAGAAAAGGAGCAAUCCGCUCUGAGAUGGACCCGCGGCGCAUUAGCUAGUUGGUGAGGUAACGGCUCACCAAGGCCACGAUGCGUAGCCGACCUGAGAGGGUGAUCGGCCACAUUGGAACUGAGACACGGUCCAGACUCCUACGGGAGGCAGCAGUGGGGAAUAUUGCACAAUGGGCGAAAGCCUGAUGCAGCAACGCCGCGUGAGUGAUGAAGGCUUUCGAGUCGUAAAGCUCUUUGAUCAGGGAUGAUAAUGACAGUACCUGAAAAACAAGCCACGGCUAACUACGUGCCAGCAGCCGCGGUAAUACGUAGGUGGCGAGCGUUGUCCGGAAUUACUGGGCGUAAAGGAUGCGUAGGUGGAUAUUUAAGUGGGAUGUGAAAUCCCCGGGCUCAACCCGGGAACUGCAUUCCAAACUGGAUAUCUAGAGUGCAGGAGAGGAAAGCGGAAUUCCUAGUGUAGCGGUGAAAUGCGUAGAUAUUAGGAGGAACACCAGUGGCGAAGGCGGCUUUCUGGACUGUAACUGACACUGAGGCAUGAAAGCGUGGGUAGCAAACAGGAUUAGAUACCCUGGUAGUCCACGCCGUAAACGAUGGGUACUAGGUGUAGGAGGUAUCGACCCCUUCUGUGCCGUCGUUAACACAAUAAGUACCCCGCCUGGGGAGUACGGUCGCAAGACUAAAACUCAAAGGAAUUGACGGGGGCCCGCACAAGCAGCGGAGCAUGUGGUUAAUUCGAAGCAACGCGAAGACCUUACCUAGACUUGACUCUCCUGAUUACUC
rnacentral:rRNA from 1 species